rnacentral:rRNA from 1 species
UACGGGGGGGGCAAGCGUUGUUCGGAAUUACUGGGCGUAAAGGGCUCGUAGGCGGCCAACUAAGUCAGACGUGAAAUCCCCAGGCUCAACCUGGGAACUGCGUCUGAUACUGGAUGGCUUGAAUCCGGGAGAGGGAUGCAGAAUUCCAGGUGUAGCGGUGAAAUGCGUAGAUAUCUGGAGGAACACCCAUGGCGAAGGCAGGUUACUGGGCAUUAUCUGACGCUGAGGCGCGAAAGCGUGGGUAGCAAACAGG